AGAGUUUGAUCAUGGCUCAGAUUGAACGCUGGCGGCAGGCUUAACACAUGCAAGUCGAGCGGAGAUAUAGUGCUUGCACUAUAUUUUAGCGGCGGACGGGUGAGUAAUACUUAGGAAUCUGCCUAUUAAUGGGGGACAACAUCUCGAAAGGGAUGCUAAUACCGCAUACGCCCUACGGGGGAAAGCAGGGGAUCACUUGUGACCUUGCGUUAAUAGAUGAGCCUAAGUCGGAUUAGCUAGUUGGUGGGGUAAAGGCCUACCAAGGCGACGAUCUGUAGCGGGUCUGAGAGGAUGAUCCGCCACACUGGGACUGAGACACGGCCCAGACUCCUACGGGAGGCAGCAGUGGGGAAUAUUGGACAAUGGGGGGAACCCUGAUCCAGCCAUGCCGCGUGUGUGAAGAAGGCCUUAUGGUUGUAAAGCACUUUAAGCGAGGAGGAGGAGCUCUAGGCUAAUAUCCUAGAUGCUUGGACGUUACUCGCAGAAUAAGCACCGGCUAACUCUGUGCCAGCAGCCGCGGUAAUACAGAGGGUGCGAGCGUUAAUCGGAUUUACUGGGCGUAAAGCGUACGUAGGCGGCUUUUUAAGUCGGAUGUGAAAUCCCUGAGCUUAACUUAGGAAUUGCAUUCGAUACUGGGAAGCUAGAGUAUGGGAGAGGAUGGUAGAAUUCCAGGUGUAGCGGUGAAAUGCGUAGAGAUCUGGAGGAAUACCGAUGGCGAAGGCAGCCAUCUGGCCUAAUACUGACGCUGAGGUACGAAAGCAUGGGGAGCAAACAGGAUUAGAUACCCUGGUAGUCCAUGCCGUAAACGAUGUCUACUAGCCGUUAGGGCCUUUGAGGCUUUAGUGGCGCAGCUAACGCGAUAAGUAGACCGCCUGGGGAGUACGGUCGCAAGACUAAAACUCAAAUGAAUUGACGGG
rnacentral:rRNA from 1 species